GAUGAACGCUGGCGGCGUGCCUAAUACAUGCAAGUCGAGCGAACAGACGAGGAGGUUGCUCUCCUGACGUUACCGGCGGAUGGCUGAGUAACACCUUGAUACCCUAUCUAUAAGACUGGGAUAAAUUCGGGAAAACUGCGCUACUACCGGAUAAUAUAUUGAACCGCAUGGUUCAAUAGUGUAAGACGGUUUUGCUGUCACUCAUAGAUGGAUCUGCGCCGGAUUAGCUAGUCGGUAAGAUAACGGCCUACCAAGGCAACGAGGCGUAACCGCACUGAGAGGAAGGUCGGCCACACUGGAACUGGGACGCAAUCCAGGCUCCUACGGGAGGCAACAGUAGGCAAGCUUACGCAAUGGGCGAGAGCAUGCCGGAGCAGCGCCACGAGAGUGGUGAAGGUCUUCAGAUCGUAAAACUCGGUUAUUAGGGAGAAACAAAUGUCUAAGUGCAUAUGCACGACUUGACGGUACCUCAACACGAAGCCACGGCUAACUACGUG
rnacentral:rRNA from 1 species